rnacentral:rRNA from 1 species
UACGGAGGGUGCAAACGUUGCUCGGAAUUAUUGGGCGUAAAGCGCACGUAGGCGGCCUAGCAAGUCGGAUGUGAAAUCCCUCGGCUUAACCGAGGAAGUGCAUUCGAAACUACAAGGCUUGAAUACUCAAGAGGGUCUCGGAAUUCCCGGUGUAGAGGUGAAAUUCGUAGAUAUCGGGAGGAACACCAGUGGCGAAGGCGGAGACCCGGGGAGCGAUUGACGCUGAGGUGCGAAAGCGUGGGGAGCAAACAGG